ensembl:lncRNA
CAAAGUCCUCAUUUACAAGGAACAAAGACUGGAGGCCAUGAGGAGAUGUAUGCUGGCAGGUUGCAGCAAUGAUUUCUGUUGGCACGAAGAGAAAACUUUAUGCAGCUAUAAAUCUUUGGAAACUUGUCAUUUUCUGUAUUUUCUCAAUGUGUCUGAAAACCGGUUGAGCUGUUUGGUUAGUCAAAUGCACUUCCUCCUUCCCUCCUUCGGAUUUCUUCACAAAGCCGUGUGAAGUGUGGGAGGAUGUCCUGGAGUCCUGAAAAGGUCUGCACGCCUGACGACUUGCCCUGGCGGCAGACGUCCUCCUACGUUUUUAUUCUUCAUCGCGUUACACACGGAUCCCUCCAGACGCUUGGGAUUUCCUCAAUGGAUGGCUAGGUUUCAGAGAGAGACCUGUGAACAUCCUCUUACCUCCCGCCAGGAAGAAACGACUGUGUUUAUCAAAUUAAAGGAAAUCUUGCCAUUUGCCGUUACAUGCAUGGAACUGGAGGAUAUUAUGGACCGGAUGGACAAGGUCGGUGUUCGCAGAAUGUGCCGGUUCACUGUGGGCACAGAGUUGGCGAAGCAGGGGCUCAGACUUCUUGCAGAAGAGCUUUGAGUCCAGGCGGUGAAGGCGAGCCUUCAGCCAGCUGGUGCCAGAACCAGAUCUGGGGCUGUCCUUCAGUGCGCAGGCGAUGCUUCAGCCAGCAGGUGCUUUGCUGUCCUUCAGGCAUUGACGACCUUGACAGAACAGUCCAACAUGGCCCUCUGUGUAGAGUCACUUCCCGUGAGUCCGGGAGAGAGCACUCUCUGAGGACAGUGGGCGACCUUCCUCUGCCAUCCAGCUAUAGGGUUCAGCAUGGUUGACUGCACACGUCAGCCUUUGGUGGCACUUUGCAUCCUCUGUCCUGAGACACCCGGAGCUCGGCCGCUCUGUUCCACGCCCCAUGCAAGAGACUACGGUGUAGGGGGGGUGGUGUGUUACACGUUUCUCCAGGGCGGUACCUGUGUACAUUCUGCAGACCUCCCUGUAGAGGUGAAUUUCCCAGUUUGAACAGUGUCUCUUAUUCUGACCCAACAGAUGUCUGCCUCUGCUCUGCAUAGACGGGAAGCCAUCAGCUGAUACGGAAUUUCUGGUCUAUAAUUCUAACCCGUCCCUUGUAAUUCCAGAUGCUGCUCAGAUCGGGUUCAGUGUUGAGCCAAGUGCAGAACUGCACCCCUGGGUCACAGUGAGCCACGCUGAACUGUGUUCACACAGAGCAGAUAUUUGGGGGGUCCUAGGGGCACCGCACACCAGGUCUGGAAUUUGCCUACGCUGGGGUUGGACCAAGAGUGAGCUACAGGAAACAGACAGGGACGUUUCCUGGUGUGACUGUCAUUCCCGGAGAUAUCUAGACAGGCAGAGUGGGGAGUGGACUCAUCUUUGGAUUCUACAAAGUUGCCUGGUUGCCUUCUGCAGUACAGACAACCCGUCACCCCCGUGUGCUUCGGACAGUGAGAGAAACAGGUAGAGGCCUUUCCUUCCUGAAACAAAGCCUGUGCCCAUGGGGUUGUAGGGAUUUGGAACGGAGAGAAAUUCAUGGUCUGUCUGGGUCUCUAGCUCUGGGUUGGCAAAAUGACACAUUGGGGCAAACAAUGAAUCUGUCAAGGAGAAGCUUGAUGGCAGUAACAACAAAGCUGUCACUGCUGGCUUCUCUGCUUCUGUUGUCCUCUCAACACCUUGGGCUCUGGCCUUACUAGGCCCCGAAGCUUCCCUGAGGAGCCCUCCUUCCCGCCAGCCUGUCUGCAGCUGCCUUUCCCCCGUGUCUUCUGCCUGUGGUCCUUCACUCACCCUGGACCUUACUGUAUUUCCGUGGAGGCUCUCUGGGGCUGGGACCUGUCCUCCUUACCUCGUGCCUGGCCUGGCACCGUGCAGGCGCUCAGCGAUAUCUCAUGAGUUACCAGCCGGUGCAGUGAUGGUACCCAGACAGCUGACGGAAAUGCUCAGGUGUCUACACCUGGUAUAGUGGGGAGACUGCCCUUACAGAUGAAUUUGGUGGGGUGCUGCCAUGGGCUCACAGCCCCUCUCUCCGUGCCUCCCUCCACCUGUAGGCAAGUUUGGCUUCCAGCUCUUCCAGAUUGGACCAGCUUGUCAGAAAUCUAGGUGGCUCAGUCUAUUAUGUGUCUGACUCCUGGUUUCGGCUCAGGUCAUGAUCUCACGGUUCCUGGGUUUGAGCACUGCAUCGGGCUGUCUAAUGUCAGUGCAGAACCUCCUAGGGAUUCUCUCUCUCUCAAUAUCUCUGCCCUCCCUGAAAUGCUCUGUCUUUGUCUCACUCAAAAUCAAAAAUAAAGAUAAAAAAAUGAGACUCA